rnacentral:lncRNA from 1 species
AAGGGGAUAAUGGUGUGAAUUUAAAAGAAUAGAAGGGGUGUCAAUGUAAUUUAUCCAUUUGCAUAUCCUCCCCCUAUUUCUGUUUAUGGGAAAAAACCCAAAACACCUGCGUAGCAAAGCUUGUGGGGUGCUGGGUGCUGCUCUUUUCACAUGCGAUCAGUUAAUGGAAUCAAAGAAAUGCGACUGUUUCUCCCUCACUUGUUGAAACCUACGAUUCAACAACAAACCAUUUUGUUCCUCAGAACCUUCAAUUCAUG